rnacentral:rRNA from 1 species
ACGAACGCUGGCGGCAUGCCUAACACAUGCAAGUCGAACGAGACCUUCGGGUCUAGUGGCGCACGGGUGCGUAACGCGUGGGAAUCUGCCCUUGGGUUCGGAAUAACUCAGAGAAAUUUGAGCUAAUACCGGAUGAUGACGUAAGUCCAAAGAUUUAUCGCCCAAGGAUGAGCCCGCGUAAGAUUAGCUUGUUGGUGAGGUAAAGGCUCACCAAGGCGACGAUCUUUAGCUGGUCUGAGAGGAUGAUCAGCCACACUGGGACUGAGACACGGCCCAGACUCCUACGGGAGGCAGCAGUGGGGAAUAUUGGACAAUGGGCGAAAGCCUGAUCCAGCAAUGCCGCGUGAGUGAUGAAGGCCUUAGGGUUGUAAAGCUCUUUCACCGAUGAAGAUAAUGACGGUAGUCGGAGAAGAAGCCCCGGCUAACUUCGU